GACGGAGGAUGCAAGUGUUAUCCGGAAUCACUGGGCGUAAAGCGUCUGUAGGUGGUUUAAUAAGUCAACUGUUAAAUCUUGAGGCUCAACCUCAAAAUCGCAGUCGAAACUAUUAGGCUAGAGUAUAGUAGGGGUAAAGGGAAUUUCCAGUGGAGCGGUGAAAUGCGUAGAGAUUGGAAAGAACACCGAUGGCGAAGGCACUUUACUGGGCUAUUACUAACACUCAGAGACGAAAGCUAGGGGAGCAAACGGG
rnacentral:rRNA from 1 species